UAAUAGAGGUGCAGAUGUAACAAUCAAAUGUGUUAAAUGCACAGUUGUAGCAAACUUUAGCCUGACUGCUACAUCUGUAUAUACCUGUCCACUAACACAUCUCUGCUGAUCUAUGUAGAUAACACUGCUACAUCUGUAUAUUCCUGUCCACUAACACGUCUCUGCUGACCUAUGUAGAUAACACUGCUACAUCUGUAUAUUCCUGUCCACUAACACGUCUCUGCUGAUCUAUGUAGAUAACACUGCUACAUCUGUACAUCCCCGUCCACUAACACGUCUCUGCUGAUCUAUGUAGAUAACACUGCUACAUCUGUAUAUUUCUGUCCACUAACACGUCUCUGCUGACCUAUGUAGAUAACACUGCUACAUCUGUACAUCCACUAACACGUCUCUGCUGAUCUAUGUAGAUAACACUGCUACAUCUGUACAUCCCCGUCCACUAACACGUCUCUGCUGAUCUAUGUAGAUAACACUGCUACAUCUGUAUAUUCCUGUCCACUAACACGUCUCUGCUGAUCUAUGUAGAUAACACUGCUACAUCUGUAUAUUCCUGUCCACUAACACGUCUCUGCUGAUCUAUGUAGAUAACACUGCUACAUCUGUAUAUUCCUGUCCACUAACACGUCUCUGCUGAUCUAUGUAGAUAACACUGCUACAUCUGUAUAUUCCUGUCCACUAACACGUCUCUGCUGAUCUAUGUAGAAAACACUGCUACAUCUGUACAUCCACUAACACGUCUCUGCUGAUCUAUGUAGAUAACACUGCUACAUCUGUAUAUUCCUGUCCACUAACACGUCUCUGCUGAUCUAUGUACAUAACACUGCUACAUCUGUACAUCCCCGUCCACUAACACGUCUCUGCUGAUCUAUGUAGAUAACACUGCUACAUCUGUACAUCCUCGUCCACUAACACGUCUCUGCUGAUCUAUGUAGAUAACACUGCUACAUCUGUAUAUUCCUGUCCACUAACACGUCUCUGCUGAUCUAUGUAGAUAACACUGCUACAUCUGUACAUCUCCGUCCACUAACACGUCUCUGCUGAUCUAUGUACAUAACACUGCUACAUCUGUACAUCCCCGUUCACUAUGAUGUCACCUCCUGGAGGUAAACAGGGCGUUCAUGUUUUCACGUUGUCACUUGUGUUCGGAGCCUGGAGAUGAUGGGAGUUGUGAUCCUGUCUCUGACUCUGUGCUGGUUACAUUGGUGUCAGGCCGCAGACGUAGUUCAGACCCCGCGGCUGAUCCUGGCCUCUCCGGGGGAUAACGCGUCUCUUCUCUGCGCUCAUGAGGACUCCAACUACCUGUACAAAUACUGGUACCGGCAGGAGACGGGGCGAGCGCUGCAGCUUCUGGGAUAUGCGUACAUCACAGACCCGGCCACCAUGGAGGUCGCUGAGAAGAGGAUAUCCAUGAGGCCGGACGGCGCGCAGAGAAAUGUAUUGAGUGUCUCUGAGGUCUCUGCUGCAGACAGCGCGGUGUAUUACUGUGCGAGCAGCACCACAGCGACACAGUGAGAGGGGGCGGCUGUGCAGAACUGGUGCCAGAGCAGCGCCCCCUGCAGGCAGCACACGGGCUUCCUGUGCAUCACCUUCUGGGGCGACAGCCGUGCAGACCAGUGUGAUGCGGUGUACGGUCUGAGCACUGACAGGCGGACCCCCCGGCCCAGGGGCGU